GGUGGAGUGGUGUAGAGGUUAGCACACCCGACCGGUCAUUGGGAAACCCAGAGUUGAAAUCCUGGCUCCGCCG
rnacentral:tRNA from 1 species